GACGAACGCUGGCGGCGUGCCUAAUACAUGCAAGUCGAACGAGAGCGACCGGUGCUUGCACUGGUCAAUCUAGUGGCGAACGGGUGAGUAACACGUGGGUAACCUGCCCAUCAGAGGGGGAUAACAUCCGGAAACGGAUGCUAAAACCGCAUAGGUCUUCGAACCGCAUGGUUUGAAGAGGAAAAGAGGCGCAAGCUUCUGCUGAUGGAUGGACCCGCGGUGCAUUAGCUAGUUGGUGAGGUAACGGCUCACCAAGGCAGUGAUGCAUAGCCGACCAGAGAAGGUGAUAGGCCACAUUGGAACUGAGACACGGCGCAAACUCCUACGGGAGGCAGCAGUAGGGAAUCUUCCGCAAUGGACGGAAGUCGGACGGAGCAACGCCGCGGGAGUGAAGAAGGUUUUCGGAUCGUAAAACUCUGUUGUUAGAGAAGAACAAGUGCUAGAGUAACUGUUAGCGCCUUGACGGUAUCUAACCAGAAAGCCACGGCUAACUACGUG
rnacentral:rRNA from 1 species